CCAACGGCCCUUUUAAGGGCCACCACUUUCUCCAAAGAGCAGUCAAU
rfam:Folsomia candida strain VT population Fcan01_Sc009, whole genome shotgun sequence.